AGAGUUUGAUCCUGGCUCAGAACGUACGCUGGCGGCACGCCUAACACAUGCAAGUCGAACGAAGUAGCAAUACUUAGUGGCAGACGGGUGAGUAACAUGUAGGUAUCUGCCCUUUGGCCUGGAAUAACACGAGGAAACUUGUGCUAAUACCGGAUAAGUCUUUACGGAGAAAGCUUUAUGCACCAUUGGAUGAGCCUGCACUUGAUUAGUUUGUUGGUGGGGUAAUGGCCUACCAAGGCUGUGGUCAAUAGCUGAUUUGAGAGGAUGAUCAGCCACAUUGGGACUGAGACACGGCCCAAACUCCUACGGGAGGCAGCAGUGGGGAAUCUUGCACAAUGGAGGAAACUCUGAUGCAGCGAUGCCGCGUGAGUGAAGAAGGCCCUUGGGUUGUAAAGCUCUUUCGUCGGGGAAGAAAAUGACUGUACCCGAAUAAGAAGGUCCGGCUAACUUCGUGCCAGCAGCCGCGGUAAU
rnacentral:rRNA from 1 species